rnacentral:tRNA from 1 species
GCCCAGCUGGCUCAGCUGGUGGAGCACGUGACUCUUGAUCUCAUUGUUGUGAGUUCAAGCCCCACGGUGGGCA